rnacentral:rRNA from 1 species
UACACAUGCAAGUCGAACGGCAGCACGGACUUCGGUCUGGUGGCGAGUGGCGAACGGGUGAGUAAUGUAUCGGAACGUGCCUAGUAAGCGGGGGAUAACUACGCGAAAGCGUAGCUAAUACCGCAUAUUGCCCUUCGGGGGAAAGCGGGGGACCUUUCGGGCCUCGCACUAUUAGAGCGGCCGAUAUCGGAUUAGCUAGUUGCGGGGUAACGGCUCACCAAGGCGACGAUCCGUAGCUGGUUUUGAGUGACUCAAUUGCCGCAUACUGGGACUGAGACAUGGCCCAGACUCCCUACGGGAGGCAGCAGUGGGAAUUUGGACAAUGGGGAAACUCCUGAUCCAGCCAUCCUGGGCGUGUGCGAUGAAGGCCUUCGGGUUGUAAAGCACUUUUGGCAGGAAAGAAACGGCACGGGAUAAUACCCCGUGCAACUGACGGUACCUGCAGAAUAAGCACCGGCUAACUACGUGCCAGCAGCCGCGGUAAUACGUAGGGUGCAAGCGUUAAUCGGAAUUUUCACGUGGGCGUAAAGCGUGCGCAGGCGGUUCGGAAAGAAAGAUGUGAAAUCCCAGAGCUUAACUUUGGAACUGCAUUUUUAACUACCGAGCUAGAGUGUGUCAGAGGAGGUGAAUCCGCGUGUAGCAGUGAAAUGCGUAGAUAUGCGGAGGAACGCCGAUGGCGAAGGCAGCCUCCUGGGGAUAACACUGAUGCUCGAUGCACGAAAGUGGGGAGCAAACAGGAUUAGAUACCCUGGUAGUCCACGCCCUAAACGAUGUCAACUAGCCGUUGGGGUUUCCUUCGGGCCUUGGUAGCGUAGCUAACGCGUGAAGUUGACCGUCUGGGGGAGUACGGUCGUAAGAUUAAAACUCAAAGGAAUUGACGGGGACUCGCACAAGCGGUGGAUGAUGUGGAUUAAUUCGAUGCAACGCGAAAACCUUACCUACCCUUGACAUGUCUGAAUCCGAAGAGAUUUGGGAGUGCUCGCAAGAGAACCGGAACACAGGUGCUGCAUGGCUGUCGUCAGGCUCGUGUCGUGAGAUGUUGGGUUAAGUCCCGCAACGAGCGCAACCUUGUCAUUGGUUGCUACGAAAGGGCACUCUAAUGAGACUGCCGGUGACAAACCGAGGAAGGUGGGGAUGACGUCAAGUCCUUCAUGGCCCUUAUGGGUAGGGCUUCACACGUCAUACAAUGGUCGGGACAGAGGGUCGCCAACCCGCGAGGGGGAGCCAAUCCCAGAAACCCGAUCGUAGUCCGGAUCGCAGUCUGCAACUCGACUGCGUGAAGUCGGAAUCGCUAGUAAUCGCGGAUCAGCAUGUCGCGGUGAAUACGUUCCCGGGUCUUGUACACACCGCCCGUCACACCAUGGGAGUGGGUUUUACCAGAAGUAGUUAGCCUAAUCCGGCGAGGGCGAUUGGCCACGGUAGGAUUCAUGACUGGGGUGAAGUCGUAACAAGGUAG